rnacentral:misc_RNA from 1 species
UUAAGUUCAGCGGGUAGUCUUGCUUGAUUUGAGGCCAAAGUUAGAAAUAUUUGGUGGGUGAGCGUAAACUAGUUCCAAGAAUGCUUAGCACUCGGGCUAGUCUACGCAGGCCACUUUCCGGCUUUGUUUAGACCGAGUCAGAGACACGGUCAAGUCGCAUUGCUGCAGAGAGUAUGCGGCACUCAAACAAACAUGCCUCA